UAAUGCUAGCUAGGCAUAUAAAAACUUCAAAACUAUGGUUUUGAGCAUCUACUACAUCUUAUUCUUCAACUACUAUUCAUAAGAAACAGUAAAUGAGCUUCCGCCAUCUGGCUUUCUAUUCAUUAUUUUUUUCACUAAUCGACUUUGGGAUACGACGUGGUUUUCGCUUACGCUUUCAUCCCUUUCUCAAACCAACCCUAGCUGGCAAUGGCGUGUUGGCUCUUCAUCUCUACCCACUAUGUUCCUCUCUCAAAUCUACCCUAGCUGGCAAUGGCGUGUUGCCUUACCCUCUCUCCCCUUGCUUGGAUUUCCUUCUAUUUUCCUUAGUCAGAACCCUAGAUUUCUUCCCGUGUUGAACUUCGUUUUUACCCACUAUUGACCAAUCUAUCACGUCAUUUUUUCAGAUUGAUCUGAUGAUUCAUUUAUCUUCGCCGAAGUCUACUGUUCCUUCGCCAUGCUUUCUCCUUAGUUGGACAAGUCUUGGGUUUGAAUGCAUCUUCAAAGGUUGAUCUGUGUUCAAAUGGCAGUAAAAAGGUGAAUGAACACGAGAGAUUAAAAGCAAUGCGUUGUGAUGUUAUCCAUGAAGCUUGUGAACGCAUGUAGUAUGCUUUGGCUGUUCAAGAUUAUGGAAAUGCUCUGGAUGCUUGUGCUGUUUUUUUAUGUUGAUAGACAUACUAAUGAGUUGGUAUAUUAUUGUCUUUUUAGGAAGCAAACAGCAAUGCAGGUCAUUUUUGCCAAGUCAGGGAUUAAAAUGAUUUAUCUUAUUUGGGCUCUCUUUCAAGAGAGUGUUAAAUUCAGAUAGUAUAUUACUAUUAUGAGGGAAGGAAGUUGCACAGCUUUGACUCGCGGGUGCUGUCCUCUGGUUUUUAUCAUGGCUUGAGAUGCUGUGGUGAUGUGUGCUGUAGAGUUUUUUUUCGACUGGGAUCGUGGUAACACAAGGAGUAUAUACUGCACACUGAACCUAGGCUUCUUAAUCCAUUUUGUCUCCUUUUCUUUUUCUGCUUUUCUUUUGUUCUAUUCUGUUUUUGUUCAAGUACUGUAUCUUUUUCAUUUUUGUCAUGUUGAACCUUUUAACUUACUUGGAGAGUUUGUACCCAAAAUUUAUUCCAUAUCAAUGAAUUUCUUUUCUUAAAAAAAAAGGUGAAUGGUGAAGAUUUUGUACAUGAUUAUUACUUCAAUUCCUCAUAAAUUGUUUACAUCUAAACCAUUUACUCUGCAUGUUUACCUUUCCAACCUUAUUUUUUUCACAUGGUAAGUGAUUUGAAACUUUAUUUUUGUUUAGUUUCCGUUGCAGCCUUCCUAAUCUACUUCUCUUCUUGUGAGGUUCUGCAUUUAAAGAAACUCUUAUAUUUGAUUGUUUGAUUUUACAGCAAUUUGCCUACUUUUCUCGGUGGUGACUGCACAUGUUUUGAAUAUGGAGGUUGCCUUAUGAGCGAUCAGGGCCUUGGAAAAACAAGAACUUUUAGAAAUGAUUCAGGUAUCUGAGUGGAUGAAUAAGAAUGGUGUGUGCAUAUUUUCUCCUACUGAACAUGCGGUGCACUUGGACCUCAUUGGCAAGGUUCAUGGGUUUUCUUCUGCAGAAAGCUAUUUUAACAGCUUGAAGGAACAAGACAAAACUGAGAAGGCAUAUGGUGCUCUCUUUAAUUGCUAUGUUCCACAGUGCCUAAUUGAUAAGUCCCUCUCCCAUUUUUCAGAAAAUUAAGGAGCUGGUCUACACGUGCUUUUGAACAAGACAAUUAACUGGGUGUAGAAAAUAAUGUUGUUUCUGCUAUGUUGUUUGGGGAAAUGGUCAGAUGUAGAUAGUGGAUGUAUAAUAGGAUCAAAAGAGAGAAAAGGCAGGGGGGUGGGGGUGUAUUGAAUUGGUCUUUAGCCAUGGAACUGUCAUUUAUGUUUUGCUCUAUUAUUUUCCUAUAUUCAGAAAUUGUUGCUUC